rnacentral:lncRNA from 10 species
AAUUCCUUCCCCUGGCUCAUCCUGGCUCAAAGGCUCCCCAACUGAGCACCUUGUGAUCCCCGCCCCUGCCAGCCAGAGAACAACCCCCUUUGACUGUAAUUUUCCUUUACCUACCCAAAUCCUAUAAAACAGCCCCACCCCAUCUCCCUUCACUGACUCUCUUUUGAGACUCAGCCUGCCUGCACCCAGGUGAUUAAAAAGCUUUAUUGCUCACACAAAGCCUGUUUGGCGGUCUCUUCACACGGAUGGGGGAAACACUGUGGACUGGCAUGCUGCUGGCCACCACUUCCCAGCUGAAGACUCAGGAGCGCCAUGUGGAAGAACUCAUCUCACAGAUAUUGGCAAAAGCUACCAAGCAGGACUUGAUUUAUUGUUUUGUUCAUUGUCUAGACUAAGAAAGUGAUGAAAUGUUAAUAAUGGAUAAUGAUUAAUGAAAUGGAUAAUGAAAAUGAAAAAUAAUUAAUGUAAAUUAAAUGUGAAAGUGUGUCCUACUUGUAGCUGUUAUACUGUGAAUAACUUUAAGAAGAAACCUUAGUAAAUAUUCCUCCAGUUUUCAAAAAUUAUUUUCUAGUUCGGCAAAGAAGUCAUUCACAUCACUGAUAAAUGAAUGAAGUUCUAACAGAUGUCUUUAUUGAUUCACUUUUAUUUUAUUUGUUAACAUAAAUGAAAAUACAGGUGAUGUUCAUGUCAGAACACUUUCAUCAAAUGCAACCACAGUUUGGCUAUGAAUAUAGAAGCCUGGCAAAAAUCAAUAAAAGCAGUCUGUGAGAAUCAAUUGAUUAUAAGGAAUUUCCAAUAAAGAAUAUUAUAUAUGUUGUUACUUGUAAAUAGCAUGAUAUACCUUCUUUAUAUCAGAAAAGUUUAUAAUAAAGUUAUGUGUGUAUGUAUAUAUA